rnacentral:lncRNA from 1 species
GAAUGUGAGAUUAGAUCUAGUAUGUCCACAGCUACAUAAGCCAUGAAGAAUCAGGCAGGAACAUGACAUCUCAGGAACAAUAGGUAAAGUGGCAGAGAAAAUAUACAGCACAAGACUGAAAGUUUCAGAUAUUUAUACCUCCUAGCUACGAAGUAAACAGCCUCAGCAGGUUACAGACACUGCUGGACUCCCUAAGAGAGGAAGUGACUUAAGGCCAUUGUGUCUUCAACACAGAGUGCAAACAAUGCCUUGGCCAGAGUUAUUUUUGCUUCAUUUGAUAUUAGUUUGUACUAACUGUGCCUCAUCAUGAGAGGAAACAGCAUCUCUAUAGUAAUGGAAACAAGGUAAGUACUUGCAUAUAAUCAGCACAGUGCUGGUGCAUCGGUUGACAGUAUUUCACAAUGUCUCAGUGCACUCAUCUCAGGCAAGUAGUAGGAGGAAGUAGAAAUAGGCAUGGAAAGAAUGUUGCCCAGUAUCUCUCUUUGAGUUCACUGGGAAACUGAUGGGAUCCACACUAGCACUGCAUCAGCGUAUUGUCAUAGAUCAUAUGCUACAAAGAGAUCUCUACUAGUCCUCUACUAGUAAAGUCCUGUCUGUACUGAAUUCACUGAUAGCUUUCUUACUGAUUUCAGCAGAAUCGUGAUAUCCUUUGUGUAACAGUAGGAAAAAUAAAAGUGUUUUCUCAUUUUUGUGCCAUGCAUUUCCACCUUACCAUUGUUACUAUUUUUGAAUGUUCGUAAAGACAGGAAUAUUUGAGUGAGGAAAUCUCACAGAGAAUACCUACUUUCCAGAUUACUCCAAACUGCAUAGCUGCUCAUUACAUCAUGCAAAUUUUGAAUACUGCUCUAUGCUGAGGAAUGACUACUGACCAGACAAGCCACCCCCUUGCAGGAGGAAAGGAAAAAACAAGAACCAUCAAGAUACCAGUGAUACCGUUUAAUGCACUCCUGGAAGGCGUUCAAAAAACACACCAUGAAGGCAGAACACAGUAUGACCAGAAGCACAACUGGAUCACAAAUAAUUUUGCACAACGAUCUUGCACUGGUAUUAACAUGCUAGUUAGUCACUGCUAUUAGGGUAAAUAUACUAAAAAAUGAACCACAUAAAGAAUUUCAUCACCUCAGAAUUCCUGAGGCCAUGAGACACUUUGAUGAUCACUUUGCCCUUUACAAUCUGAAUGUAUACAGAGAAUGUAGGUGUUGCAUUUACCAGAUAAGAAUACAGGCUGGAUAGAAAUGGACAAAGAUACCUGCAAACUGUAUUCAGAAUCGACUUUUUAAUAAUUUAACUGUAUACUUCAGAGAACAGAAUGAUGUAAGAGACACGGGAAUUCCCACCAAUUGUGCUUUGUUUAGUUUAUUUCACUAAGCAUUUGUUUUUUAUUGUCAAAGCAUAUCAAAAUGUGAAAAGAAUCAGUUGUCUACAACUUCUAGGAUAGCAUCUAUGACAGUGGCUAGGAACCUCCCAGUAGCUCAUCCUUUCUUAUCAACUAUACUGUAAUUUGGCUUAAAUAGUUGUCUAUCUACCACGUUCCAGGUCACCUAUAGACAAGACCUACUGUGUCAACUGAUUGGGCAGCCAAGAAGAAAAUUCCUUCACAUUAUUAAUAUUAUGACAUAAGAGUUAGAUGGUUUAUUUGCUCAUUCAUCAGAAAUAGAAAGGAAUAUAAGAGCAUAAGGAAAUGAAGAGAUGGAUUCAUAGUGCUAUAAAAACUUACUGAAAUACAUAAAAUGAGAGAUUUCCUUUACUGUAAUAAAGAAUCACUUGUUAUAGUGUCA